rnacentral:rRNA from 1 species
GACGUAGGGUCCAAGCGUUGUCCGGAUUUACUGGGCGUAAAGCGCGCGUAGGCGGUCUGUUAAGUGCACAAUUGAAAGCUCCAGGCUCAACCUGGAAAGUGCGCGCGAAACUGGCGAGCUUGAGUGCGGGAGAGGGUCGCGGAAUUCCCGGUGUAGAGGUGAAAUUCGUAGAUAUCGGGAGGAACACCGGUGGCGAAAGCGGCGCACUGGACCACAACUGACGCUGAGGCGCGAAAGCUAGGGGAGCAAACAGG